rnacentral:rRNA from 1 species
UACAGAGGUCUCAAGCGUUGUUCGGAUUCAUUGGGCGUAAAGGGCGCGUAGGCGGCGAGGUAAGUCUGGUGUGAAAUCUAGGAGCUUAACUCCGAAACUGCAUUCGAUACUGCCGUGCUUGAGGACUGGAGAGGAGACUGGAAUUUACGGUGUAGCGGUGAAAUGCGUAGAUAUCGUAAGGAAGACCAGUGGCGAAGGCGGGUCUCUGGACAGUUCCUGACGCUGAGGCACGAAGGCCAGGGGAGCAAACGGG